AUUGAACGCUGGCGGCAGGCUUAACACAUGCAAGUCGAGCGGGGAAGGGUAGCUUGCUACCUGACCCAGCGGCGGACGGGUGAGUAAUGCUUAGGAAUCUGCCUAUUAGUGGGGGACAACAUUCCGAAAGGAAUGCUAAUACCGCAUACGCCCUACGGGGGAAAGCAGGGGAUCUUCGGACCUUGCGCUAAUAGAUGAGCCUAAGUCAGAUUAGCUAGUUGGUGGGGUAAAGGCCUACCAAGGCGACGAUCUGUAGCGGGUCUGAGAGGAUGAUCCGCCACACUGGGACUGAGACACGGCCCAGACUCCUACGGGAGGCAGCAGUGGGGAAUAUUGGACAAUGGGCGCAAGCCUGAUCCAGCCAUGCCGCGUGUGUGAAGAAGGCCUUUUGGUUGCAAAGCACUUUAAGCGAGGAGGAGGCUACUUGGAUUAAUACUCUAGGAUAGUGGACGUUACUCGCAGAAUAAGCACCGGCUAACUCUGUGCCAGCAGCCGCGGUAAUACAGAGGGUGCGAGCGUUAAUCGGAUUUACUGGGCGUAAAGCGUGCGUAGGCGGCUUUUUAAGUCGGAUGUGAAAUCCCUGAGCUUAACUUAGGAAUUGCAUUCGAUACUGGGAAGCUAGAGUAUGGGAGAGGAUGGUAGAAUUCCAGGUGUAGCGGUGAAAUGCGUAGAGAUCUGGAGGAAUACCGAUGGCGAAGGCAGCCAUCUGGCCUAAUACUGACGCUGAGGUACGAAAGCAUGGGGAGCAAACAGG
rnacentral:rRNA from 1 species